ACGAAGGGGGCUAGCGUUGAUCGGAAUUACUGGGCGUAAAGCGCACGUAGGCGGGAUUGUAAGUAGGGGGUGAAAUCCCAGGGCUCAACCCUGGAACUGCCUUUUAGACUGCAAGACUGGAGGUCGGGAGAGGCGGGUGGAAUUCCGGGUGUAGGAGUGAAAUUCGUAGAUAUUCGGUGGAACACCAGUGGCGAAGGCGGCUCGCUGGACUGGUACUGACGCUGAGGUGCGAAAGCGUGGGGAGCAAACAG
rnacentral:rRNA from 1 species